UUACAAAUAGCUUUACCUUCUCAUAAGUGAAGAUACUUUAACUUUCCUUUUUUUAAGAUCUCAGAAAAGUUAUGCCCAUCAAAAGAACAAACGUUAAGCAUUAGAACAAACUAAUGCUAAUAAAGUCAUUAUCUUAUACUAAAUAUUGCAUAUAUUAAUGGUUUGCCACACAAGAUCAGUCGAAUAUAAAUCAUUGUGAUAAUACAGAUAAAGUUAGAAACUCAUUUGACACAUCCAUGACCAAUGAUUUGCUGUCACAGUUGAAGUUUAUUAUUCUGCCAUAUUAGACACAUUUUUAAAAUUUUAUUUACUCUUGUUAGUCUUAUUAACAUAAUAGCAUCCUUUGCAGAGAUUAACUUUAUCCUCAUCCUGAGUGUGGCUGGAGGCUGCUGUUUGAUGAUUGUCAUUGGUGUUGGUGUAGCCGUGUACGUUUGCCACUGCAAAGAGAGACAAACUGGCAGUGACAUAAAUGACCUCACUGUGUAUGCCGAUAUCGCUGAUGUUGCGAUUGACAAUAGGACCAUGAAGCCUUGUUCAGUGUAUGAAACCAUUGACAACAGAACCAACACAGCUCCGCCUGGGCCCCAAACUGUGUACGACAAGAUCCAGCUCAGCCGUGUGAGGAAGGCGUCUGUGUCGCCCUACCAAGACGUCAUCUAGAUGUUGUGGAGCUUUUUUCAAGUGUUGCUCAGGGCAAGGCAACGAUGUGCAGCACAAGAAAAUUCAAGGAUAAUAUGAUGGAGAAAAUGUGAAAGAGCUUCUAAAGGCAGAAAGUUGUGUUACAUUUUUGCAUAGAUUUCUGUUGCAUCAUAGCUUUUUGAGGCUGUAAGCUAUACAAUACCAUUUUAUAUACGUUGUUGUACAUUCUGUAAAUACAGAGGUUAUAUUUUUAAAUGUUAUGUUUGUACUCUUGCAUUUACUGUCAACUAUGCAUUAUUACCCAGCUGGGUCGACAGCUAAUAAAAGCCGGAUUUUAAAAUGCCACUCUGUGCUUUGCCAUGGAUUUUUCAUACAGUUGAAUUGCAGUAAAAGUGUAGCUCCA
ensembl:lncRNA